GGGCCCGUAGCUCAGCGGACAGAGCGGAGACCUUCUAAGUCUCUGGUCGGGGGUUCGAUUCCCUCCGGGCCCG
rnacentral:tRNA from 1 species